rnacentral:rRNA from 1 species
AGUGAACGCUGGCGGUAGGCCUAACACAUGCAAGUCGAACGGCAGCACAGUAAGAGCUUGCUCUUACGGGUGGCGAGUGGCGGACGGGCGAGGAAUACAUCGGAAUCUACUUUUUCGUGGGGGAUAACGUAGGGAAACUUACGCUAAUACCGCAUACGACCUACGGGUGAAAGCAGGGGAUCUUCGGACCUUGCGCGAUUGAAUGAGCCGAUGUCGGAUUAGCUAGUUGGCGGGGUAAAGGCCCACCAAGGCGACGAUCCGUAGCUGGUCUGAGAGGAUGAUCAGCCACACUGGAACUGAGACACGGUCCAGACUCCUACGGGAGGCAGCAGUGGGGAAUAUUGGACAAUGGGCGCAAGCCUGAUCCAGCCAUACCGCGUGGGUGAAGAAGGCCCUCGGGUUGUAAAGCCCUUUUGUUGGGAAAGAAAAGCAGCAGGUUAAUACCCCGCUGUUCCGACGGUACCCAAAGAAUAAGCACCGGCUAACUUCGUG